UACGGGGGGAGCGAGCGUUAUUCGGAUUCACUGGGCGUAAAGGGUUCGUAGGCGGUCGAAUAGGUCAGAGGUGAAAUCCAACGGCUCAACCGUUGAACUGCCUUUGAACCCAUUCGACUUGAGGACAUGAGAGGAAAGCGGAAUUCUCGGUGUAGCGGUGAAAUGCGUGGAUAUCGAGAGGAACACCGGUGGCGAAGACGGCUUUCUGGCGUGUUUCUGACGCUGAGGAACGAAAGCUAGGGGAGCGAACAGG
rnacentral:rRNA from 1 species